rnacentral:rRNA from 1 species
AAGAACCUUACCUGGUCUUGACAUCCACAGAACUUAGCAGAGAUGGUUUGGUGCCUUCGGGAACUGUGAGACAGGUGCUGCAUGGCUGUCGUCAGCUCGUGUUGUGAAAUGUUGGGUUAAGUCCCGCAACGAGCGCAACCCUUAUCCUUUGUUGCCAGCGGUUCGGCCGGGAACUCAAAGGAGACUGCCAGUGAUAAACUGGAGGAAGGUGGGGAUGACGUCAAGUCAUCAUGGCCCUUACGACCAGGGCUACACACGUGCUACAAUGGCAUAUACAAAGAGAAGCGACCUCGCGAGAGCAAGCGGACCUCAUAAAGUAUGUCGUAGUCUCGGAUUGGAGUCUGCAACUCGACUCCAUGAAGUCGGAAUCGCCUUAGU